CCUACGGGUGGCAGCAGUAGGGAAUCUUCCACAAUGGACGAAAGUCUGAUGGAGCAACGCCGCGUGAGUGAAGAAGGGUUUCGGCUCGUAAAGCUCUGUUGGUAGGGAAGAAAGAUAGAGGUAGUAACUGGCCUUUAUUUGACGGUAAUUACUUAGAAAGUCACGGCUCACUACGUGCCAGCAGCCGCGGUAAUCCGUAGGUGGCAAGCGUUGAGCGGAUUUAUUGGGCGUAAAGCGAGUGCAGGCGGUUUUAUAAGUCUGAUGUGAAAGCGUGCGGCUCAACGGGAGAAUUGCAUGAGAAACUGGUAAACUUGAGUGCAGAAGAGGAGAGUGGAAUUCGAGGUGUAGCGGUGAAAUGCGUAGAUAUAUGGAAGAACACCAGUGGCGAAGGCGGCUCACUGGUCUGCAACUGACGCUGAGGCUCGAAAGCGUGGGUAGCAAACAGGAUUAGAUACCCUUGUAGUC
rnacentral:rRNA from 1 species